rnacentral:lncRNA from 12 species
AGAAAAUAACAUAACUUUUCCAGUCUGGGUUAACAAUUAAUAUGGUGCAUAGGUGCCUAUCAAUACACUUGUUUGUACUAACAUCAUAAAAACAUACAAGUUCACACAAAUGGGCUAAGGAAAGUAAAAACUAUGUAAAGACUGCCUGACAGGGAAGUAAUCCACAUUUCCAGGAGGCCUACUGUAAUAAAGUCAAAUGCUAAAUAUAUGAAGAUUUAUGGCAUGUUAGCACAUUAUUACCACUCGUUAUAUUGCUAAGUCAGUCACGGAAAGUCAGUUCAGGGCCAGAAGGAAGUCAGUCCGUGGACACACUUAGCCUUCAGUUUGAAACUCUUGUACCUGCCAUAGUCACAGAAACCUUUGAGCGCUGGAAGGUCAGCGUCUACUGGACGUUAACCGUAGGACGUCAGCAGAUGUUGGCUGAGUAAGAACUUAGUAACAAUUUUCUGUUUAGACAACUUGUCCAAGUUUUCUGUAAUUGUCUUUAUAAUCCUACUAUUAUGAAUUUUGCCUGUUGAAGAAAUCAUUUAAUGACAUUACCGAAAUGGACGUUGUCUGAAUUAACUCAUCUUUCUGGGCACUGGAUACUGAACAAAAGCAAUGCCUGGCCUCAUCUGAACCCUGAAGAUGUAUUUUUCAUCCAAGAAAUUUUGGACUUCAAUAAGAGACGUGUUCUCCUGCAUAAUUACGUUGAUGGGGAAGUGAGCAUACAUAGACCUCAUCUUAUAAAGAAAGCCCCGUGUAGCACCCUUGAUCAUAUUUUGUAAUGACUACAGAAAAUGUGAACAGUAACCAAUUCCUUUCUGUUUUUCCACCAUUUGUCAGCCAGAGCCUCUUCUUUUUCUAUCCAAGAAGACUGAGUUUUAUAGUGAUGUGCUUGAAGUCCUUCUGCAGGGUUCUUUGGGAAUCUUCACAGUAACUGUGUAUCCCUUCCGAGGGAUGUCGACAUUUUCUGGAAUAGUUUAGUUGCUGAGACUGGUCUUCAUUCCCAUACCCAACGUGGCAAAGAACUCAUAUGUUUAUUUGUCAUCUCUAGGUCUUCUUUGGUUAGAUGUCUGUGAAGGUGUGAAGGUAUUUGGCUCAUUUUAAACUAGGUUGUUUAUUUUCAUAUUGUCAGGUUUUAAGAGAUCUUUGUAUAUUUUGGGUAAUAGUCCUUUAUCAGAUGUGUCUUUUACAAAGGUGUGCUCCCAGUCUCUGGGUUGUCUUCUCAUUUUCUUAACACUGCCUUCACAGUUUUGGGAGCACCUGGCUGGCUCAGUCAGUGGAGCAUGUGGUUCUUGAUCUUAGGGUUGAAACAUUGAGCCCCACAUUGGGUGUAGUGAUUACUCUAAAAAAUAAAAAUGAAAAAUUAAAAUAGUCA